rnacentral:rRNA from 1 species
AUGGACCAUCUUAUCAUGGAUGACGUCCUCGCGACGCCGAUCACCACACAAUCAUCAUGUUGCGGCAUCGCACCGCAACUAGCCAUCACCACCAUUGUGCCGCCAACGGAGCCCACCUUGCGCUGUCUUGCCGUGGACGACGCUGUCGCGGCACCACGACCUCCUGCCGCAUGCAGCGGCCAUGUCUUCACGUGGACGACGCCUUCACGGCGCCGAUCGCCACGCCAUCUUCUCCUCAUAACGGCCUCGCGCCUUCGUACCUCCCAACGGCGUCACACCGUCGUCUUGUGGCAGCUUCGCACCGCCAUCAUCUAG